AGCGAACGCUGGCGGCAUGCCUAAUACAUGCAAGUCGAGCGAACUUUCCGGGGUUCUUGGCCUCCGGGUGAGUAACGCGUGGGAACGUGGCAAUAGGUUCGGAAUAUCUCCAUAAAUCUUGUGCUAAUAUCGAAUGUGCCCUCUGGUGGAAAGCUCUCUAGCCUUUAGCGCGGCCGGCGACUGAUUAGCGAGUUGGUUUAGGUAAUGGCACACUAAGGCGAGGAUCUGUAGUUGGUCAGAGAGGAUGGUCCGCCACACUCGGGCGUGGACACGGUACAAACUCUUACGGGAUGCAGCAGUGGGGGAUGGAGCGAAAUGGGCGAAGUCAUGACGCAGCCAUGCCGGGUGAAUGAUGAAGGUAGUAGGAUUGUAAAAUUCUUUCAACGGGGCCGGUCAUGACGGUACCCGGGGAGAAAGCCCCGGCUAACUUCGUG
rnacentral:rRNA from 1 species